CAAUAGCGUAUAUUAACGUUGUUGCAGUUAAAAAGCUCGUAGUUGGAUUUCUGGAGGGAGCGUCGGCCCGUAUUUACGAGUGCGUGACGUCUCUGUCCAUCCUUGCGGGAAGGCACGGCAUUGAUUUGUUGUGUCGGAUCGCAUCAUUUACUGUGAAAAAAUUAGAGUGUUCAAAGCAGGCUUUCGCUUGAAUACAUUAGCAUGGAAUAAUAAGAUAGGACUUUGGUCUAUUUUGUUGGUUUGCAGACCGAAGUAAUGAUUAAUAGGGAUAGUUGGGGGUAUUUAUAUUCCGAUGUCAGAGGUGAAAUUCUUAGAUUUUCGGAAGAUAAACUUAUGCGAAAGCAUUUACCAAGGAUGUUUUCAUUAA
rnacentral:rRNA from 1 species